AGUGAACGCUGGCGGCGUGCCUAAUACAUGCAAGUCGAACGGAGAUUAAGUAGCUUGCUAUUUAAUCUUAGUGGCGCACGGGUGAGUAAUAUAUAGCUAACUUGCCCAUUACUAAGGGACAACAGUUGGAAACGACUGCUAAUACCUUAUACUCCGUAUCUAUAUAAGUAGAUACGGGAAAGUUUUUCGGUAAUGGAUAGGGCUAUAUCGUAUCAGCUAGUUGGUAAGGUAAUGGCUUACCAAGGCUAUGACGCGUAACUGGUCUGAGAGGAUGAUCAGUCACCCUGGAACGGGCGCCCGUUCCCAGUCCCCAGGGGAGGCAGCAGUAGGGAAUAUUGCCCCAGGGGGCAAACCCUGAACACGCAACGCCGCUGGGAGGUUUACCCUUUUCGGGGCGUAAACCCCUUUUCUUGGAAAAGAAUUCUGCCGUUCCCAAAGGAAUAACCCCCGGCUACCUCCAU
rnacentral:rRNA from 1 species